rnacentral:misc_RNA from 1 species
GUGAGUCAUCGAAUCUUUGAACGCACAUUGCGCCCCUUGGUAUUCCGAGGGGCAUGCCCGUUCGAGCGUCAUUAUAACCCCUCAAGCCUAGCUUGGUGUUGGGGCCUGCUGUUACCGGCAGCCCUUAAAAUCAGUGGCGGUGCCAUCUGGCUCUAAGCGUAGUAAUACUUCUCGCUACAGGGUCCCGGUGGACGCUUGCCAUCAACCCCUAAUUUUCUAUGGUUGACCUCGGAUCGGGUAGGGAUACCCGCUGAACUUAAGCAUAUCAAUAAGCGGAGGA